rnacentral:misc_RNA from 1 species
UACGUAGGGGGCAAGCGUUGUCCGGAAUUAUUGGGCGUAAAGCGUCCGCAGGCGGCUUGGCAAGUCGGAUGUGAAAUCUCCAGGCUCAACCUGGAGCGGCCAUUCGAUACUGCCAUGGCUUGAGUCUGGUAGGGGAGUGCGGAAUUCCUGGUGUAGCGGUGAAAUGCGCAGAUAUCAGGAGGAACACCGGUGGCGAAGGCGGCACUCUGGGCCAGUACUGACGCUCAUGGACGAAAGCGUGGGUAGCAAACAGG